GCCUUGUCGUUCCGGGGGCCUCAUAGGGUUUCCGGUACCAAAGGUCGCUGGUUCGAUUCCAGUCGGGGGCACCA
rnacentral:tRNA from 1 species